UCUUAUGGUGGCUGCACGCAGGGCGUCUUCGGGCGCGCCGGUUUCGUUGAUUCGCCGGUCUACUAACCUGCGUACAGCCGCCACCCAU
rnacentral:antisense_RNA from 10 species